CCGUCGAUGCCGCCGCUGACGCCACUUCAACCCUUGGUGAUGUCGCUCCGGCCCCUGUUUAAGUUAAUACUAACGUGAACCAGCUGGCCUCAGCUGGCCUACUAACAGAGUUUUCUGCACUUAUCGUCGUCAUUCUUGCUUUUGGAUUUCCCCUUACCGACAUGGGCUUGGGAAUAAACAUCUGUUUGCUGGUUUCCUUAGUGUUAAAAAUAAUUAACACGUGCUGGUGUUUAGCGGUGAACUCGGACAAGAAAAAACACAGGGGAACAUUUAAGUUGCAGUGUUUGUUUUCCCAAAUACUGGCUGGUCUGGUGAUGUGUUUCACCAUUGGCGUGGCAAAAUUGACGAAUGACAGUCUUUUUUUCAAAAACGCCACUCAAGGGGGGGGGGGAUUGAUGUUUUCUUUUUGGCGGUGGUGAUCGGGGCGAUGAAUCGCGAUGGAUGGCGAUGAUCGGUGGUGAUUCCCGAAAAAUGAUUUUAUGUUUUUUCUCUUUGUCUUAUGUCCAAAUUAACCUAGCAUUCGUUCGUUUCCACCAAACAACACUCUGCUCCGGAAUACUCUGCCUCUCCUUCCUAUGUAACCCCGGACACCCUUUUGCCUUUAUUACGAAUUCGUGUUCUUACGCCG